rnacentral:rRNA from 1 species
UACGAAGGGGGCUAGCGUUGUUCGGAAUUACUGGGCGUAAAGCGUGCGCAGGCGGCUUCUCAAGUCAGGGGUGAAAGCCCAGAGCUCAACUCUGGAAUUGCCUUUGAGACUGAGUGGCUUGAGUACGAGAGAGGUGAGUGGAAUUCCCAGUGUAGCGGUGAAAUGCGUAGAUAUCGGGAGGAACACCAGUGGCGAAGGCGAUCAUCUGGGGUUGUUCUGACGCUGAGGAGCGAAAGCUAGGGGAGCAAACGGG